GCUCAACCGAGGAAGUGCUUCGAAAACUGGUAAACUUGAGUGCAGAAGAGGAAAGUGGAACUCCAUGUGUAGCGGUGGAAUGCGUAGAUAUAUGGAAGAACACCAGUGGCGAAGGCGGCUUUCUGGUCUGUAACUGACGCUGAGAUUCGAAAGCAUGGGUAGCAAACAGGAUUAGAUACCCUGGUAGUCCAUGCCGUAAACGAUGAGUGCUAAGUGUUGGAGGGUUUCCGCCCUUCAGUGCUGCAGCUAACGCAUUAAGCACUCCGCCUGGGGAGUACGACCGCAAGGUUGAAACUCAAAGGAAUUGACGGGGGCCCGCACAAGCGGUGGAGCAUGUGGUUUAAUUCGAAGCAACGCGAAGAACCUUACCAGGUCUUGACAUACCAUGAAAAGCUUAGAGAUAAGUCUUUCCCUUCGGGGACAUGGAUACAGGUGGUGCAUGGUUGUCGUCAGCUCGUGUCGUGAGAUGUUGGGUUAAGUCCCGCAACGAGCGCAACCCUUAUUAUCAGUUGCCAGCAUUCAGUUGGGCACUCUGGUGAGACUGCCGGUGACAAACCGGAGGAAGGUGGGGACGACGUCAAAUCAUCAUGCGCCUUAUGACCUGGGGCUACACACGUGCUACAAUGGUCGGUACAACG
rnacentral:rRNA from 1 species